rfam:Myotis lucifugus cont2.17581, whole genome shotgun sequence.
GAGACACCCCUAUGGAGCAGGACUUGCUUCAGUGGGGCUUUGGUGCUCACUGAGUCUGCACCUGAAGUGUGGCACU